UCUUUUAAUUGAAGGCUUGUAUGAAUGGCUGAACGAGAUAUUAACUGUUUCAAUUUAAAUUUUAGAAUUUUAUUUUUUAGUCAAAAAGCUAAAAUAUAAUUGAAAGACGAGAAGACCCUAUAGAUCUUGAUAAUUGAUAUAUUAAGUUUAUAAAGAAUAUUUAAAAUUUUAUAUAAAGAAUUAUUUUAUUGGGGUGAUAAUAAGAUUUAAUAAACUCUUAUAUAAAUUAAACAUAAAUUAAUGAAUAAUUGAUCCAUUAGUAAUGAUUAGUAAUUUAAGUUACCUUAGGGAUAACAGCGUAAUUUUUUUAGAGAGUUCAUAUCGAUAAAAAAGAUUGC
rnacentral:rRNA from 1 species